GUGGUGGCAGAUGGUGAAACGCUAUCCGCCGUGUCGACUGAGGCUCGUAUAGCGACGCUCGUAACCCGUGAUAAGGCACCUCCCAUACGAUAUCCCGACGCACAACUCUUCACCGUUUCUUGUCGGAGGAAAGGCGACACGCACGUGGAGCUGGUGUCGCAGUUCGGGCAGGAGCGCGAGGCGGCGCGGCUGGACGUGUCGUGCGCCAGUCACGUGGCGCGCGCGCGCCUCGAGCCGCCCGACGCGCCCGGGAACUGCUCGGCCGGCCCGCGGAUAUGGCUCCGUCCAGGACAAGAAGUCCAAGUAAAAGUGACUCUUUUAGACGCUAUAGGAAGGGAGAUAUUAGAUGAGCAAGGACCAAGUGUAUCUUGGGACAUACAACCUAAUCAUGUUGGAGUGGAAUAUAGAUCUAGUGACAGAUUGUUUGUGGAAACUAACCCUGAGUUUGCUCCUGUACCCGUGCCUCAGAAAUACUAUCAACUUGUAGCAGCUACUGAACAAGCUAUAGGGUGGAGUGGAGUGCUCAAAGCUACUAUUCCUGACACCACUGCUACUAUACCAGUUAAAGUUGUAGCACCUCUAAAAUGUGACUCAGUAAAGGUAAAUAUAGCAUGGGAAAGCGAAUCAGUUCCUAAUAUAGCAACGAUAACGGGAGGAAGUGGGAAAUACGCGGUAGAGGUACCCAAAGGAGUGACAGCUACUGUGGAAGGCGGCGUACUGUCGGCAAAUGUGCCAGCGCCUGGGAGCUACGACCUACAAGUGAUAGACCUUUGUGUCAGUGGCGAAAAACUAAUCAUUGAGGUAAACAUAGAAGAAGUUCUAAGCGUGGAAGUGUCAACAGCUCGUGCGGUGUGUGUUGACGCUUGUGUAUCCAUCAGUGCCUUAGUGAAGGGGAUAUCAUACAGAUACUUGAGUAGUACUAAAGAGCCGGAGUGGAAGACUACUGGACAAAUAUUCGUGAAGAAUGGAAGCCUGUGCGGCAUGAAAGAAGGUUCUGGAAGAGUCCGCGCAUCACUUGGUGGAGUUUGGAGUCCUGAAGUUGAGGUGGCGGUGUUCCCGCCGUUGCGCGCUGAGCCCGAGCGUGCGCGCGUGCCGGUGGGCGGGCGCGUGCAGCUGCGGCGCGGCGGCGGCCCGCCCGCGCACCUCGCCGCGCCGCGCUACCGCCUCGCCGCCGGCGGCGACCACGCACUCGU
rnacentral:misc_RNA from 1 species